rnacentral:tRNA from 1 species
UUACGGCUUGGGAUCAUAUGCGGCAGCACCAGCCCUAACAGCAAGCCAAUACCCAAUACGCCGCCGCCAUACAUAAA